ACCGCUGUAGCUCAGCGGAUAGAGCAUCUCUUUGACUAAGAGUUAGGUCGCGGGUUCGAUCCCCGCCAGCGGUG
rnacentral:tRNA from 1 species